rnacentral:rRNA from 1 species
UACGUAGGGGGCUAGCGUUGUCCGGAAUCAUUGGGCGUAAAGAGCGUGUAGGCGGCUCGGUAAGUCCGCUGUGAAAGUCCAGGGCUCAACCCUGGAAUGCCAGUGGAAACUGUCGAGCUAGAGUCCGGAAGAGGCGAGUGGAAUCCUGGUGUAGCGGUGGAAUGCGCAGAUAUCAGGAGGAACACCGAUGGCGAAGGCAGAUCUCUGGGCCAUUACUGACGUGAGGAGCGAAAGCGUGGGGGAGCGAACAGG